rnacentral:rRNA from 1 species
AUGGCUGUAGCAAUGCUCCCGAGGCUCGUUGCUGUGGCGGCGCUCGUCGCGCUGAUAUGUGCUGUUGCUGUGGGCCAGGUACCCGCACCUGCCGUCGGCGGUGCGCCGGUGUGCGACUUGGUCGAUCAGGACGUCGUGAAUGCGUGCUUCAAGAGCUUUGGAGAAGGUAUGAAAAAUGCCAUUGCAGACAGGCGUUUUUCGGGGGGUAAGGUCAUUAAGGUUGGAGUGGACUGCUGCAUAGCCUUUGGAGGCCACUCGUGCCUCUGCAAGAUGAAGAUGGCGUGGAAGGCUCAGGGCAAAAGUGCCCAGAAUAAUGUGCAAUGCGUCAGGGAAAAGGCAUGCUCGGACGAUUUGAUUGCCCAUGAGCACACAGGGGUCGCUCAUCCAGACCCUGCUCUUGAUUAG